UACGGAGGGUGCAAGCAUUGAUCGGAAUUACUGGGCGUAAAGGGCGCGUAGGCGGCCGAGAAAGUCAGAUGUGAAAUUCCGGGGCUCAACCCCGGAGCUGCAUUUGAAACUUCUUGGCUAGAGGAUGGUUAGGGAAAACGGAAUUCCACGUGUAGCGGUGAAAUGCGUAGAUAUGUGGAAGAACACCAGUGGUGAAGACGGUUUUCUGGGCCAAACCUGACGCUGAGGCGCGAAAGCUAGGGGAGCAAACAGG
rnacentral:rRNA from 2 species